rnacentral:rRNA from 1 species
AAUGGGCGCAAGCCUGAUCCAGCCAUGCCGCGUGAGUGAUGAAGGCCCUAGGGUCGUAAAGCUCUUUCGCCUGUGAAGAUAAUGACGGUAGCAGGUAAAGAAACCCCGGCUAACUCCGUGCCAGCAGCCGCGGUAAUACGGAGGGGGUUAGCGUUGUUCGGAAUUACUGGGCGUAAAGCGCGCGUAGGCGGAUUAGUCAGUCAGAGGUGAAAUCCCAGGGCUCAACCCUGGAACUGCCUUUGAUACUGCUAGUCUUGAGUUCGAGAGAGGUAAGUGGAAUUCCGAGUGUAGAGGUGAAAUUCGUAGAUAUUCGGAGGAACACCAGUGGCGAGGGCGGCUUACUGGCUCGAUACUGACGCUGAGGUGCGAAAGUGUGGGGAGCAAACAGGAUU